rnacentral:rRNA from 1 species
GAUGAACGCUAGCUACAGGCUUAACACAUGCAAGUCGAGGGGUAACGAGAGGAAAGCUUGCUUUCCUUGUCGACGACCGGCGCACGGGUGAGUAACGCGUAUCCAACCUGCCCCCAACUAGGGAAUAACCUUGCGAAAGUAAGACUAAUACCCUAUAAUUUCCUCAGAUGUCAUCUGACGAGGAAUAAAGAUUUAUCGGUUGUGGAUGGGGAUGCGUCUGAUUAGCUUGUUGGCGGGGUAACGGCCCACCAAGGCAACGAUCAGUAGGGGUUCUGAGAGGAAGGUCCCCCACAUUGGAACUGAGACACGGUCCAAACUCCUACGGGAGGCAGCAGUGAGGAAUAUUGGUCAAUGGGCGGGAGCCUGAACCAGCCAAGUAGCGUGCAGGAUGGCGGCCCUAUGGGUUGUAAACUGCUUUUAUACAGGAAUAAAGUUAGCCACGUGUGGUUAUUUGUAGGUACUGUAUGAAUAAGGACCGGCUAAUUCCGUGCCAGCCGCCGCGGUAA